GCAAAACGAAACAACAAAAAACAAAGUAAAAUAUCCCACGCCACGAACUAAAAUUGAGUCGAGAAAAACAAUUAGACGGUACUUCAAAUUGUUUUUGUACUGGCCUUUACUUGACUGAAUAGCUUUAAUUUAUAUUUCGCAACAUUUCUAGUUAAUUUCCUGUUAUUUAAUUUAAAUUCAUUUCACUUGAUUGCAGCUAACAAUAAAUUUUCAUUCAUGCGCACGCGCCGCGUUUCGUUCCGUUAGCUCGUUCAGACUGAAGAAGAGGCUGGCCGAGACGAUUCGAUCACGGCACACCGUUAAGUCGGGCCCUUGGCCCUCUUCUUCUUAGCGGAUUCUGGAGCGUUGUUUUCUUGCUUUCUCUUAGGUCAGUCGAAGAGUAAGAGAGUAAGGAGAGACAGUGAAGAAGUUUAUAAUCGGUGCAACAGGCAAAUCCUAUGCUCUGCCACGCCCCCGACCACCUGCCCACCCGCCUAUACCUACGUUUACCACCCAGCACUUGACAGCGCGUGCAUUGUGACUAGGAAAAUAAACCAAACUAAAGAAUAUCCGAGUGAAACCAACUGUGCUGCAAUUCUUUUCAUUUCGUAUACCCUGUAAAUUGCUCAAUAAUGUGAGCGAGUCGUGUGCGUUUUGUGAUAGGAGUGCCUAAAGGGAAACUUGGCCAACAUUGAUGCUGGGAGAGACUAGUUAGCUGAUGUCAGCAACAUGGCUAUAGACAUUAUGCAGAUGCUCAUGCUAAUGAUCAGGCUUCACAGAUACCCUGUAUCCUGAGGACCAAUCGACUAAGUGGGCGUAUAUACUUCGACUCUGUAAGCUAAAAUUUUAAUUCCGUUUGUUUAUUUUUUCGCUCUCUUUAAUAAUAGAUUUUCAUUGGCCACAAUCUGGCAAUUUAAGCCAUAUUAUCUCACUCACUCAAUUUAUUGCUUAGUUUAUCUUUUUUCCAUGCUUUUGUUUUUUGUCUUGCGUUUAGUUUUGUUUGCCAGUUAUGCUAAAUGCAAUAGCAACUGCUGCAUAGCGCCAUACAAAUAAUCGCAUAGACUUAAGUCUAAAGUUCUUAACAUAUUGCUAAACUGUUCGCUGACUCAGCCAGCAGCAACAACAACGACAGCAACAGCAACAGCAGCAGCAACAACAACAACAACAACAACAACAACGACAGCAACUAGGGAAAAGUUCGUUGUCAAACAUUUGCAUUUCGCUUGAAUUUCUGAUUGCAGCAAGAGUGAAAGAGCAAAGGAAAGACAGUGACAGAGAAGGAGAGGGAGAGGGAGAGAGUGUAAGAGAGAGAGAAUGAGGGAGGGCAUGAGGUGUGAGUGGGACAGGAAGAGUUUGGUGCCCGCUGGCCACUGGCAAAAAUUGCAGACGGCAAAUUAAUGCCAGCGCAUUUAUUUUUGUCACAAAUGCAAACAACAGCAACAAGAGCGACGCUGGCGUCUGGCGCUGCCAAAAGCGAAAGCAGCGCCAAGAAAUAAAUAACGCAAAUAAAUAAGAAAAGUGCCCCAGGGCACAGCUACACACACACACACACACACACAGACACAGUGACAAACAGCGAGAGUGUGAACGAGCGAUAGAGCAAAGGCAGCAGCGGCAGAUGCAUCAAUGUUGCAGCUGCCGUAGCAGCAGUGCUGGCAACAUGCUGCUGAGCAGCGCGAGAGUGUUGAGAAAAUGUGCCUGACUCAUAGAUACCCUCCAAAGUCAACCAUGUCUUAAGAUUUAUUUCCUUUUUAAUUCUUUAUUUAAACUAGAUAUCAAUAUUCAACUGUAAAGUCUUAAAUCAGAAUAGCUGCAAUGUCAAUGCUUCACAAAUGUAUCCGACUACUCCAUUUAAAAUCGAUGAAUAUCGAAAUUGAAGUAACAUUUCCAAUAAUUCUAAUGGUUAAUCCACAUUAAUUUGUAUGGCCUAUAAUCCUCUGCUACAGUAGUAUUAUACUGCAUUAGAACUACUACACUCCCUACAGGAUAGACAGUCAUGACCCUGUAAUUCCUUAUGGAACUCCUAUAUACCUCACAGCUAAUCAGUGAAGGGUAUAAAAUAGAUCACCCUUUCUGAUAUGGUAAAUGAAACUUAUAUUGCAUAUAUCCUAUUAGAACUAUACACACUAUAUACAGGGUAUAGAGUAUGCAAGCAUAAUGGAUUUUUUGUGGCCAGCCACGCCCCUUUUAUGCCUAAUGACAGUAAAGCUGUCAUGUUGCCAGCACAUUUGCCAAUUAAUUGAAGUAAGGGAGCGAUAGCAGCAGCAGCAACAGCGACUGCUGCAGCAGCAUCACAGUUACUGCCAUCAGUUAACGCAGCUCAGUUGAUGUGAAUGCUGUUGUUGUUUUUGGUGCUGCUGCUGCAGGCUGCAGGCAGCGCAUAACAAAAUACAUGAAAUGUUGAACAAAUAAAUAAAGCGACAGGCAGCAGCAGCAGCAGCAGCAGCAAUCGCAACAACAAUGCAUUGCAAUGGGGGAGCAGUUUCUGACAAGCCAAUGCCAUGACAAAAACAAAAAUAACAAAAAAAAACUCUCUACUAAAAGCAGCAACUAAGCGAUACCACUGCCCCUUUCUCUAUCUCUUCGCCCCCCCCUCUCACUCUCUUUCUCUCUCUCUCGCUGUCUUCCGCCGCCACAGCGCCACAAUCUGUAAAUUGCAAAAGUUGCUCGCGUUUCCCUUCAUUUUGCAUACGUUUCAUAUUCAUGUCGAGGAGCCGCAGCAGCAGCAGCAACAACAACAACAACAACUGAGUUCGUUGCCCGCCCCCCGCACGUCACGCCUCUCCCUCUCUGUCACUCUCUCGCGCUCUUCUUCUCGUUCACUCUGUGUGUGUUCUCACAGCUAGGCCAGACAUGACGACGCUGUCGCUGACGAGUCGUGUUUACAGUUAGAACCACGGCAAAUUGAAUGUGCGUGCAAAAUGGGGAGGGUUAGCAAAAUUGCAACAGCAACAACAACAGUAUCAAGACGGAGGCCAUUGCAAUUUUCAAAUUAGACAA